rnacentral:tRNA from 1 species
GUCGCUUUGGCCGAGUGGUUAAGGCGUGUGCCUGCUAAGUACAUGGCAUUUUCUCGCGAGAGUUCAAAUUUCUCAGGCAACG